UUACGGCCACAUCACGUUGAAACACCGGUUCUCGUACGAUCACCGAAGUUAAGCAACGUAGGGUCUGUUCAGUACCUAGAUGGCUGACCACUUGGGAAUACAAGAUGCUGUAA